rnacentral:rRNA from 1 species
CGGCCAGACUCCUACGGGAGGCAGCAGUGGGGGAUAUUGCACAAUGGGGGAAACCCUGAUGCAGCGACGCCGCGUGAGCGAUGAAGUCUUUCGGUAUGUAAAGCUCUAUCAGCAGGGAAGAAGAUGACGGUACCUGACUAAGAAGCCCCGGCUAACUACGUGCCAGCAGCCGCGGUAAUACGUAGGGGGCAAGCGUUAUCCGGAUUUACUGGGUGUAAAGGGAGCGUAGACGGCGAUGCAAGCCAGAUGUGAAAGCCCGGGGCUCAACCCCGGGACUGCAUUUGGAACUGUGUGGCUGGAGUGUCGGAGAGGCAGGCGGAAUUCCUAGUGUAGCGGUGAAAUGCGUAGAUAUUAGGAGGAACACCAGUGGCGAAGGCGGCCUGCUGGACGAUGACUGACGUUGAGGCUCGAGAGCGUGGGGAGCAAACAGGAUUAGAUACCCUCGUA